UCUCUCCAUCUCUCCGUGAGAGUGGUUUGUCUGAGUAGAAACCCAACACUCAUUCAGUCAAAAAGAAUCCUGGAUGCUCGAAUAAAACUUCCGUAUUUUGUCUACUUAAAUCAGGGGUCCCCAAACUUUUUAAACAGGGGGCCAGUUCACGAUCCUUUGGACCGUUGGAGGGCCGGACUAUAUUUGGCCACUGAGCAAUAAUAAUAAUAAUAAUAAUAAUAAUAAUAAUAAUAAUAAUAAUAAUAAUAAUAAUAAUAAAAGAGGGUUGGAAGAGACCCCUUGAGCCAUUGAGUCCAACCCCCUUCUGCCUUUGUGCACCGAAAGCACAAGCAAAGCACCCCUGGCAGAUGGCCACCCAGCCUCAAUGUUGCUAAUAAUAAUAAUAAUAAUAAUAAUAAUAAUAAUAAUAAUAAUAAUAAUAAUAAUGGUUGUAAGAGAAGAAGAGACCCCUUGGGUCAUUUAGUCCAACCCCCUUCUGCCCUUGUGCCGUGGGGGCCGGAUAAACAGCUUCGAUGGGCCGCAUCCGGCCCCCGGGCCUUAGUUUGGGGACCCCUGACUUAAAUCUUCUCUAAGGGUUUAGCAUUUUGGAAUAACUGGAUAUUUGGCCCCGAGCCGGCUGUGUGCAUCCGUUGGACCCCUGUCUUUGGGUUCCUUCCAAGAAAGUCAGCCGGGAAAGACGGGAGGCCGAAUAUUAAUAGCGAACUCUCUGUGGAGCGACGAUGGAUGCGUUCUCACCUGGGACCUUUGCAACGAGACAUCUUUAUGACAAGCCGUGAUAUUCAAUUUACCAAAGGCAGGCCUGGCUGCUGUUCAUUGCCGGUUAAUAACUGAAAAUUGAUUGGAAAGGGAGGUCAAGGUGGCUUGCAGAGCCGAGCAGAAACUAAUGGAGAGUGCUGUUCAGGAAAUGCACACCGGCUGAGUUUUAUGAGGUUGCGAGGAGUCUUUGCUUUCAUAUUUACUGUUACCAUUGCUUUGGAGAAAGAAGGAAAGAAACAUUCCCUAAUAUGCCGAAUCUCUAGAAAAGGAAGACUGAAACUCAUAGAGCUGGACAGAAACCUCCAAACACGAGCUGAAGUCUUUGAAGAUGCCAAGAUUAAAGAUGGUGUUUCUUGGAAGGGGAGAGGAAUUCAUAGGAGUUGUAGUCCAACAAGAUCUGGAAGGUUAGACUUUACUUUUGUAAUGACCUAAAACCGUCCAAAGAGAUAAGAAUUCUUUCCCGCUCAAGUUCUAAUCUUUCGUAAGGUAUUUAUUCUAAAAGUGACCAGUCCGUUUACUUCAAUCCACUACCAUUAUUCUCUUUCAAUAGAAAUGUUAGUUUGUCCAUAUCUAUUACAGUAGAGUCUCACUUAUCCAACAUAAACGGGCCGGCAGAAUGUUGGAUAAGCGAAUAUGUUGGAUAAUAAGGAGGCAUUAAGUAAAAACCUAUUAAACAUCAAAUUAGGUUAUGAUUUUAUAAAUGAAGCACCAAAACAUCAUGUUAGACAACAAAUUUGUCUAAGUAGUUCAAUACGCAGUAAUGUUAUGUAGUAAUUACUCUAUUUAUGAAUUUAGCACCAAAAUAUCACAAUAUAUUGAAAACAUUGACUACAAAAAUGUGUUGGAUAAUCCAGAACGUUAGAUAAGCGAGUGUUGUAUAAGUGAGACUCUACUGUAUUUCCAUUAUUUUAAUGAUCCAGUCUUUCGUGUCAGGAAUAGUAUCCUGUUUCCAUUGUUUGGCGAAGACUAUCCUCGCCGCUGUUGCAAAAAAAAGUAAUCAGUUUGUCCAUAUUUCAAUCUGCAAAUAACUCCGAAUUGAACAUGCCGAGAAGAUAAUAUUUCGGUUUCGUUGGGAAGGUUUUUUAAAGGAUUUUUUUGACAUUUGACAUGAAUUUUUUCCAGUAAUUCGACGAUUCUUUACAUGUCCACCAUAAAUGGAAGAAUGUACAGUAGAGUCUCACUUAUCCAACAUUCGCUUAUCCAAUGUUCUGGAUUAUCCAACACAUUUUUGUAGUCAAUGUUUUUAAUACAUCGUAAUAUUUUGGUGCUAAAUUCAUAAAUACAGUGAUUACUACUUAGCAUUACUGCAUAUUGAACUACUUUUUCUGCCAAAUUUGUUGUAUAACAUGAUGUUUUGGUGCUUAAUUUGUAAAAUCAUAACCUAAUUUGAUGUUUAAUUGGCUUCUCCUUAAUCUCUCCUUAUUAUCCAACAUAUUCGCUUAUCCAACGUUCUGCUGGCCCGUUUAUGUUGGAUAAGUGAGACUCUACUGUACCUUGAUUUACCUUACACUUCCAACAUUUAUUGUCCAUAUUCUUGUACAUUCUUCCAAGUUUUGCCGGAGUCAUGUACCAGCAAUGCAUCAUUUUGAAAUAAUUUUCUUUUAGAUCAGUGGCAUAUGUAUAUUUUAAUUUCCUUAACCAAAUUUCUUAACCAAAUUUCAAAGUCUUACAGGAGGAGGAAGAAUGGAAGCAACCGAAUACCCUUUCCCCAUUUUUUUAAUUUUUCCCCCUUCUUUUCUCUCUCUUCUCUUUCUCUUUUUCCUACUUUUCUGUACUUACCGUAUAUACUCGAGUAUAAGCCGACUUG
ensembl:lncRNA